CUCCUACGGGAGGCAGCAGUGGGGAAUAUUGCACAAUGGGCGCAAGCCUGAUGCAGCGACGCCGCGUGGGGGAUGACGGCCUUCGGGUUGUAAACCUCUUUCACCAUCGACGAAGCCAGAUGCUUGUGUGUUUGGUGACGGUAGGUGGAGAAGAAGCACCGGCCAACUACGUGCCAGCAGCCGCGGUAAUACGUAGGGUGCGAGCGUUGUCCGGAAUUACUGGGCGUAAAGAGCUCGUAGGUGGUUUGUCGCGUUGUUCGUGAAAUUCCCUGGCUUAACUGGGGGCGUGCGGGCGAUACGGGCAGACUGGAGUACUGCAGGGGAGACUGGAAUUCCUGGUGUAGCGGUGGAAUGCGCAGAUAUCAGGAGGAACACCGGUGGCGAAGGCGGGUCUCUGGGCAGUAACUGACGCUGAGGAGCGAAAGCGUGGGGAGCGAACAGGACUAGAUACCCUGGUAGUCCACGCCGUAAACGGUGGGUACUAGGUGUGGGUUUCCUUCCUUGGGAUCCGUGCCGUAGCUAACGCAUUAAGUACCCCGCCUGGGGAGUACGGCCGCAGGGCUAAAACUCAAAGGAAUUGACGG
rnacentral:rRNA from 1 species